rnacentral:rRNA from 1 species
UAACCUGCCUGUAAGACUGGGAUAACUCCGGGAAACCGGGGCUAAUACCGGAUGCUUGUUUGAACCGCAUGGUUCAAACAUAAAAGGUGGCUUCGGCUACCACUUACAGAUGGACCCGCGGCGCAUUAGCUAGUUGGUGAGGUAAUGGCUCACCAAGGCGACGAUGCGUAGCCGACCUGAGAGGGUGAUCGGCCACACUGGGACUGAGACACGGCCCAGACUCCUACGGGAGGCAGCAGUAGGGAAUCUUCCGCAAUGGACGAAAGUCUGACGGAGCAACGCCGCGUGAGUGAUGAAGGUUUUCGGAUCGUAAAGCUCUGUUGUUAGGGAAGAACAAGUACCGUUCGAAUAGGGCGGUACCUUGACGGUACCUAACCAGAAAGCCAC